GAUGAACGCUGGCGGCGUGCCUAAUACAUGCAAGUCGAGCGAACAGACGAGGAGCUUGCUCCUCCGACGUUAGCGGCGGACGGGUGAGUAACACGUAGGUAACCUACCUAUAAGACUGGGAUAACUUCGGGAAACCGGAGCUAAUACCGGAUAAUAUUUUGAACCGCAUGGUUCGAUAGUGAAAGAUGGCUUUGCUAUCACUUAUAGAUGGACCUGCGCCGUAUUAGCUAGUUGGUAAGGUAACGGCUUACCAAGGCAACGAUGCGUAGCCGACCUGAGAGGGUGAUCGGCCACACUGGAACUGAGACACGGUCCAGACUCCUACGGGAGGCAGCAGUAGGGAAUCUUCCGCAAUGGGCGAAAGCCUGACGGAGCAACGCCGCGUGAGUGAUGAAGGUCUUCGGAUCGUAAAACUCUGUUAUUAGGGAAGAACAAACGUGUAAGUAACUAUGCACGUCUUGACGGUACCUAAUCAGAAAGCCACGGCUAACUACGUG
rnacentral:rRNA from 1 species